rnacentral:sRNA from 1 species
GUAAAUCAAGUACAUAUAACAUGUAUAGUAGCACUUUAAUAAUGUUUGGGAUAUUAAGUGUUGCGAGCCCUAUUCUGAUACCUCCAUUCUGUGACCUUUUAGUGGUAGAUGCACCUUUAAAAUGCUAUAAUGCCACAGAUUGUAAAUCUUAUAGGGAGUGCCUACAUCCUAAAUAAAAUAUUAACAUAUAUAUAUAUUAUAUCGAUGUGCUCCCAAAUAAAAUGCGUUUG